rnacentral:rRNA from 1 species
AACGGCCGUACCAUGCUGAAUAUACCGGUUCUCGUUAGAUCACCGAAGUUAAGCAUCAUUGGGCGCGGUCAGUACUUGGGUGGGUGACCACCUGGGAACACUGCGUGCUGUU